GGAGGCGGCGCCCGACACCAGGCUGCAGACAACCAGCGGCAGGAUGAUCAUGCGCAGCAUGCGGAGCAGCAUCUCGCCGGGGAAGGACAGGAGUCCUGUACGAGAAAGCACGCCGGGGUGCCCAGCGCGGGCCUGGCCCUGAGACGGAAGAUGGAUGAUGGAUGGAUGAAUUAGAAAAACGAUAAGGGCUCUGACAAAGCCUCAGCUGAUACACAUGACCAAUGACGCUUAUACUCAGUGUCCACAACUAUAGUGAACCUAGGCUUAGAUGUACUUCCUGGCUACUGACCUGAACCACAGCAGAUUUUCCUCCUACUUAAGAAAGAAUGUUGGCCUGCAAGGUCCUCCAACUCAGUCUGGACUCAACCAUAUGAUUUUCUUUAGCCAAUGGGUAUACCUGACCCAAGGCAAGCAGAAGUUUGAAAUAGGCUUACACAUUAGGCUUUUCUCUUGUGCCAUUGUCAUCAGAACAUGCCUGGGAGGAAGAGAGACACACGGAGCACAGCUGAGUCCUCAGUCAUCAUAGCAGAGUUCAUCCUCGAUCAACUACCAGCCAGACUACCCCAAACGUGGAAGUGGAACCAGCCAGUCAGUUGAGCUGUCUAGCCGCUCCCUACCACCACUCCGAGAAAUACGAGCAAUAAAAACCACUGUUGUGUGCCAUGAAAAUUUUGUGGUUCUUUGUUACAGUGUUAGUCCAAAUCCACUAAGCAGCAGAUGCUGAGAUGGAAGAAAACAUACAAGGAUUUUAUGCAGGAGUAGCAAUGUGAGAGAAAAAAAGUGUGGAGGGAACUGCGCCCCAGGACAGCUGUCAGAAGACAACGCAAGUCUGACCCAGAUGAAGGAAGGAGAGAAGGAAAGUUGGGUAGACGAGUCUGCCAUGCAGUCUAAGGGAAAUUCAGCCUCAGCUAUGGUGGCCACCAUGUGCAACCUGCAAACAUUGGAUUAUUUCAUUAUAUUCCCUGUGUGAUCAUUCCCAGGUAUUUACUCACAAUAAAAACAUAUAUUAUUUUAGGGGGCGCCUGGGUGGCUCAGUGGGUUAAAGCCUCUGCCUUCAGCUCAGGUCGUGAUUCCAGGAUCCUGGGAUUGAGCCCCACAUCGGAAUCUCUGCUCAGUGGGGAGCCUGCUUCCUCCUCUCUCUCUGCAUGCCU